GGCCUCGUGGUGUAAGGCAUGUUGGAUUGCAAAUCCAGAGGCGUGGGGUAGCCCCCUGCCGGGGCUU
rnacentral:tRNA from 1 species